UGCAAAAUCAUUCCCUGUUGUUAAUUUUAUUAAUUGUGUUAAUCUGUCUUGCUUAUUUCCAUAUAUUAUUUCAUCAUUGUCCUCACAUUUUACAGGCGCGGUCAGCCUACAUGCCAUUUGAGUCGGCAGCCAUAUUUGAAAUAGUCUAUUCCUUUGUUCGUCAUUUAGGCUGUAUUUGUCCACAUUUGACUCAAACAUUUCAGCAUUAGUAAAUGCAUCCACUGACGUGUCA